rnacentral:rRNA from 1 species
GAUGAACGCUGGCGGCGUGCCUAAUACAUGCAAGUCGAGCGAACAGACGAGGAGCUUGCUCCUCUGACGUUAGCGGCGGACGGGUGAGUAACACGUGGAUAACCUACCUAUAAGACUGGGAUAACUUCGGGAAACCGGAGCUAAUACCGGAUAAUAUAUUGAACCGCAUGGUUCAAUAGUGAAAGACGGUUUUGCUGUCACUUAUAGAUGGAUCCGCGCCGCAUUAGCUAGUUGGUAAGGUAACGGCUUACCAAGGCAACGAUGCGUAGCCGACCUGAGAGGGGGGUCGGCCACACUGGAAAUGAGACACGGUCCAGACUCCUACGGGAGGCAGCAGUAGGGAAGCUUCCGCAAUGGGCGAAAGCCUGACGGAGCAACGCCGCGGGAGUGAUGAAGGUCUUCGGAUCGUAAAACUCUGUUAUUAGGGAAGAACAAAUGUGUAAGUAACUAUGCACGUCUUGACGGUACCUAAUCAGAAAGCCACGGCUAACUACGUGC